AGAUACCCCACUAUGCCUAGCCGUAAAAUUAACUCACAUAACAAACGCCAGGGGAUUACGAGCUUUAGCUUAAAACCCAAAGGACUUGACGGUGACCCACCCAUCUAGAGGAGCCUGUUCUAUAAUCGAUAAUCCACGUUAUACCUUACCAUUUCUAGCUUUUUCAGCCUGUAUACCUCCGUCGUAAACUCACCGCUUGAACGCAUAAAAGUGUGUCCAAUGGCCACCCCACCAGCACGUCAGGUCAAGGUGCAGCUCAUGAAAUGGAAAGCAAUGGGCUACAAUUUCUAAUAUAGAAUAAACGAAAUACUGCAUGAAACACAGUCAUGAAGGAGGAUUUAGUAGUAAAGAGGGAGUAGAGAGCCCCCUUUAAUCUGGCCCUGGGACAUGUACAAACCGCCCGUCACCCUCUUCGAUAGCCUACUCACUUGCUACAUAACCUGAUUUCGCGCCUUAGAAGAGGCAAGUCGUAACAUGGUAAGUGUACUGGAAAGUGCACUUGGAACAACAAAAUGUAGCUUAACUAAAGCCCCUCGCUUACACCGAGCCAAUGUCUGUGAAACUCAGACCAUUUUGAGCCCCCAAUCCAGCCUAACACAUCCGCAUGUACACAGCAUACGAUAGACUAAAAAUAAAACAUUCUACUAUUCUAGUAGAGGUGAUCGAAAAAAUUCUUAGCGCCCCAGAUUUAGUACCGCAAGGGAAAGAUGAAAUAAUAAUGAAAUAAGAUUAAAGCACUAAAUAGCAGAGAUUCCCCCUCGUACCUUUUGCAUCAUGGUCUAGCUAGUUUAACCAAGCAAAACGAAACUUUUAGUUUGGCCCCCCGAAACUAAGCGAGCUACUUCAAAACAGCUUUAAGAGCCAACCCGUCUCUGUUGCAAAAGAGUGGGAUGAUUUUCAAGUAGCAGUGAUAAGCCUACCGAGCUUAGAGAUAGCUGGUUAUUCAAGAAAAGAAUAUUAGUUCUACCCUAAAUUUUAUUAUUACACCAAACAGUUCAAUAAAUUUAAGAGCUAUUCAAGUAAGGCACAGCUUACUUGAAACAGGAUACAACCUAAACUACCGGGUAAAAUUUCUUCUUUAUUACACAAGUGGGCCUAAAAGCAGCCACCUUUAAAAAAGCGUUAAAGCUUAGUUAAGCAAGAUUAAGUAAUACCAUAAUUAACCUUCAACCCUUCUCCAGUAUUGAAUGAAUCCAUAUAGAUAUGGAAGACAUUAUGCUAGAACUAGUAACAAGAAUUAGACAUUCUCCAAAAUGUAAGUAUAAACCAAAACUGACCAAAUUGGUAAUUAACGUAUAUGAGCCCACUGUAAUAACUUUGCUAGAAAACUUUACAGAAAUUCCCGUUAACCUCACACUAGAACAUUUCUGGAAAGAUUAACAGAGAGAGAAGGAACUCGGCAAAUUUUAGCCCCGCCUGUUUACCAAAAACAUCGCCUCUUGAUAAAAUAUAAGAGGUCCAGCCUGCCCAGUGACAAAGUUCAACGGCCGCGGUACCCUAACCGUGCGAAGGUAGCAUAAUCACUUGUUCUUUAAAUAGGGACUUGUAUCAACGGCAUCACGAGGGNUAUACUGUCUCCUCCCUCUAAUCAGUGAAACUGAUCUCCCCGUGAAGAAGCGGGGAUAUUCCUAUAAGACGAGAAGACCCCAUGGAGCUUCAAACUCAAGGCAACUCCCAGUAUACAAACCCUCAUAUUUCAAGAGUACUGCGUAACAGUUUUAGGUUGGGGUGACCGCGGAGCAUAAACAAACCUCCACGACGUAUAGAACUAAACCUUUAUCUAAGAGCUACUUCUCUAAGAAUCAGCAAACUGACGUAAAAUGACCCGAUAUCCGAUCAUCGAACCAAGUUACCCUGGGGAUAACAGCGCAAUCCGCUUCAAGAGCCCAUAUCGACAAGCGGGUUUACGACCUCGAUGUUGGAUCAGGGUAUCCCGGUGGUGCAGCCGCUACUAAUGGUUCGU
rnacentral:misc_RNA from 1 species